rnacentral:rRNA from 1 species
GACGAACCGUGCGACCGUUGUUCGGAAUUACUGGGCGUCAAGGGCGCGUAGGCGGCUCCUCAAGUCGGGCGUAAAAUCUCCGGGCUUAACCUGGAAAAGUCGUUCGAUACUGUUGGGCUAGAGUGUGGAAGAGGCUACUGGAAUUCCGUGUGUAGCGGUGAAAUGCGUAGAUAUGCGGAGGAACACCGAUGGCGAAGGCAAUCCCCUGGGCCUGCACUGACGCUCAUGCACGAAAGCGUGGGGAGCAAACAGG